GAUGAACGCUGGCGGCGUGCUUAACACAUGCAAGUCGAACGGGAAUUCUCUUAUUGAAUCUUCGGUCGAUUUAAUUUAAUUCUAGUGGCGGACGGGUGAGUAACGCGUGGGUAACCUGCCUUAUACAGGGGGAUAACAGUCAGAAAUGGCUGCUAAUACCGCAUAAGCGCACAGAGCUGCAUGGCUCAGUGUGAAAAACUCCGGUGGUAUAAGAUGGACCCGCGUUGGAUUAGCUGGUUGGUGGGGUAACGGCCCACCAAGGCGACGAUCCAUAGCCGGCCUGAGAAGGUGAACGGCCACAUUGGGACUGAGACACGGCCCAGACUCCUACGGGGGGCAGCAGUAGGGAAUAUUGCACAAUGAGGGAUACCCUAAUGCAGCGGCGCCGCGUGAAGGAAGAAGUAUCUCGGUAUGUAAACUUCUAUCAGCAGAGAAGAUAGUGACGGUACCUGACAAAGAAGCCCCGGCUAACUACGUG
rnacentral:rRNA from 1 species